GAUGAAGAACGCAGCGAAAUGCGAUAAGUAGUGUGAAUUGCAGAAUUCAGUGAAUCAUCGAAUCUUUGAACGCACAUUGCGCCCCUUGGUAUCCCGAGGGGCAUGCCUGUUCGAGCGUCAUUUCACCAUUCAAGCCUGGCUUGGUGUUGGGCGACGUCCUCUUUGGGGACGCGCCUCGAAACGCUCGGCGGCGUGGCACCGGCUUUAAGCGUAGCAGAAUCUUUCGCUUUGGAAGUCGGGGCCCCGUCUGCCGGAAGACCUGCUCGCAAGGUUGACCUCGGAUCAGGCAGGGAUACCCGCUGAACUUAAGCAUAUCAAUAAGCGGAGGA
rnacentral:misc_RNA from 1 species